AACGAACGCUGGCGGCAGGCUUAACACAUGCAAGUCGAACGCCCCGCACGGGGAGUGGCAGACGGGUGAGUAACGCGUGGGAAUCUACCCAAUUCUUCGGAACAACUGAGGGAAACUUCAGCUAAUACCGAAUGUGCCCUUCGGGGGAAAGAUUUAUCGGAAUUGGAUGAGCCCGCGUUGGAUUAGCUAGUUGGUAGGGUAACGGCCUACCAAGGCGACGAUCCGUAGCUGGUCUGAGAGGAUGAUCAGCCACACUGGGACUGAGACACGGCCCAGACUCCUACGGGAGGCAGCAGUGGGGAAUAUUGGACAAUGGGCGCAAGCCUGAUCCAGCCAUGCCGCGUGAGUGACGAAGGUCUUCGGAUUGUAAAACUCUUUUGGCGGGGACGAUAAUGACGGUACCCGCAGAAUAAGCCCCGGCUAACUUCGUGCCAGCAGCCGCGGUAAUACGAAGGGGGCUAGCGUUGUUCGGAAUCACUGGGCGUAAAGCGCACGUAGGCGGAUGUGUCAGUCAGGGGUGAAAUCCCGGAGCUCAACUCCGGAACUGCCUCUGAUACAGCACGUCUUGAGUUCGAGAGAGGUGGGUGGAAUUCCUAGUGUAGAGGUGAAAUUCGUAGAUAUUAGGAAGAACACCGGUGGCGAAGGCGGCCCACUGGCUCGAUACUGACGCUGAGGUGCGAAAGCGUGGGAGCAAACAGGAUUAGAUACCCUGGUAGUCCACGCCUUAAACGAUGGAUGCUAGCCGUCAGCAAGCAUGCUUGUUGGUGGCGCAGCUAACGCAUUAAGCAUCCCGCCUGGGGAGUACGGCCGCAAGGUUAAAACUCAAAUGAAUCGACGGGG
rnacentral:rRNA from 1 species